UACGGAGGGUGCGAGCGUUGUUCGGAAUCACUGGGCGUAAAGCGCGUGUAGGCGGCCCACUAAGUCUGAUGUGAAAGCCCGGGGCUCACCCCCGGAAGUGCAUUGGAAACUGGUGGACUCGAGUCCCGGAGAGGAGAGUGGAAUUCCUGGUGUAGCGGUGAAAUGCGUAGAUAUCAGGAGGAACACCGGUGGCGAAGGCGGCCUGCUGGGCAGUUACUGACACUGAGGCGCGACAGCGUGGGGAGCAAACAGG
rnacentral:rRNA from 1 species